rnacentral:lncRNA from 1 species
UUCUUACCUUACUUUGGAGUGCAGUGGGCCAUAAGUGUUUUUAAGCUAUGUGAAUUCAACUCUGAUCUUGGUGCAGGGAUGGGCAGAAGGGAAUUGGGAGGGGUUGAGAGCAGAAGUGCAAGUGCAUAACAUAAAUAAUGUAAGUCUUGCCUCUCCAGAGACUCCAGGCAAGCUCAGCUUAGCUGCUUGUUGUCAUCUGUCCUUCCCCUCCACUCCUGUAACUCUUCCUUAGUGUGAAGCUCAUCUCUGAUUUCUCUG